rnacentral:lncRNA from 14 species
GAGAACACAAGAAAGUGGGAAAGAAAGAAAGAGAGAAAGAGGAGGGAAAUAAGGAAGAUUUGGAAGAAGUAAGGAAUGAAGAAAAAUCAUGAUUUUGAUUGAUUACAUUACACAGCGUUUAAAGAAAACAAACAGUGCUUUUCCAUGUUUUGUUCCAGAUUUUGCAAGACAGUUCAUAGGAGCAAGCAGGCCAGACCACUCCACUGAGAGAAAUGAGAUGCCUCAGCCCAGCACUGCAUUGCCCAAGGCACCAGUAGCUUCUGCCUGCAUCCAAGUAGCUGCCUGCAGAACUCCAGCAGGACUCUGCAGAGGCUGUCUUCAGGGGACUAAGGAAACAAAACACCCAUAUGAUUCUUUAGGCUAA